rnacentral:rRNA from 1 species
AUAGCCGACCUGAGAGGGUGAUCGGCCACACUGGAACUGAGACACGGUCCAGACUCCUACGGGAGGCAGCAGUAGGGAAUCUUCCGCAAUGGGCGAAAGCCUGACGGAGCAACGCCGCGUGAGUGAUGAAGGUCUUCGGAUCGUAAAACUCUGUUAUUAGGGAAGAACAUAUGUGUAAGUAACUGUGCACAUCUUGACGGUACCUAAUCAGAAAGCCACGGCUAACUACGUGCCAGCAGCCGCGGUAAUACGUAGGUGGCAAGCGUUAUCCGGAAUUAUUGGGCGUAAAGCGCGCGUAGGCGGUUUUUUAAGUCUGAUGUGAAAGCCCACGGCUCAACCGUGGAGGGUCAUUGGAAACUGGAAAACUUGAGUGCAGAAGAGGAAAGUGGAAUUCCAUGUGUAGCGGUGAAAUGCGCAGAGAUAUGGAGGAACACCAGUGGCGAAGGCGACUUUCUGGUCUGUAACUGACGCUGAUGUGCGAAAGCGUGGGGAUCAAACAGGAUUAGAUACCCUGGUAGUCCACGCCGUAAACGAUGAGUGCU